rnacentral:lncRNA from 1 species
AUGCUAUCGCUGGUCCCUCCCCGCGCUCGGGCGGGGUGGUUCGCAGGCUCAGCCGCGAGCGGAGGCUCUAGAGCCGCAGUUCAGCCCGGGCCGGAGUCCGCGCCGCCCAGGGCAGCCCCGCGCGGGGCCCGCGUGCGCCCGGAGCCCGCGAGGCGGAGCCGCGGAGAGGCGGUCGGCGCGCGGGCGGCAGGUGGGAGGCCCGGCUCCGGUCGGCAGCGUUUACCUGGCUCGCAGGAAGCCCGGGAGGCGGGGGAGGAGCGGCGGGCGCGCCCGGGCCCUCGGAGCAGCAGCCAGACUGCGCCGCCGCGCCAGCGAGGACGAGCCUGCGGCCCCGGCGACCGCGGCCGCGACCCCGAAGGCGGCGCCGGAGCCCCGGGACCCCGCGCGCUUGGGGCCCGGGCGGCGGGAGGCGGCCCGGACCCCGCGGCGCCCGCGGCCUGGAGAGACGAUCGCCGCGCGGACAGUGAAACUAACAGAGAAUAUGAAAAGAAGAGAAACACUCGUGACCUUUCCCGGGAGAUCUCGGAAGACAGUGAUGUGUUUGGAGCGGCAGAUGUGGUCCCGAACAAUGGGGCCCCCUCGCAGGGCGCGGCGGUGACAGACUCCAAGCGCACAGCGGACCCGAAGAAUGCCUGGCCCGAGGCCAGCCCAGCUGACCCGGGCGGCCGCCCCCACCUGGUCCGCCUCUUUUCCCGAGAUGCCCCGGGCCGGGAGGACAACACCUUCAAAGACCGGCCCUCGGAAUCAGACGAGCUCCAGACCAUCCAGGAGGACAGCGCGGCCGCUCCCGGGGCGGUGGACGCGAUGGCGGCCCAGAAGAGACCCUCCCAGAGAUCCAAGUACCUGGCCUCGGCGAGCACCAUGGACCACGCCAGGCACGGCUUCCUCCCCAGACACAGAGACACGGGCAUCCUCGACUCCCUCGGCCGCUUCUUUGGCUCGGACAGGGGUGCGCCGAAGCGGGGCUCCGGCAAGGUGAGCUCCGAGGAGUAGAGCCGCGACACGGGCGUCCCCGGGGCAGUGAGUGGGGCGGGAAGGGCACCCGCGGGUGGACUCAGCCCCGAGAGGAGGCGCAGCGUCUCGCUGGAGAUGCUUACAAGCCCCUGGGUCUCAGCUUCUGAAGUCCCCACCCUCCUCCCCCCCGCUCACCAGGGAUGCAGUUGGAACGUGGUUCGGGGUGAAGAACAUUCUGAGUUUGCCUCUCUGGGGUGGCGUGGGUGCGGGCGCCGCAGAAAGGGAGCCCUGUGCUGGGGCCUCCUGUGUCUCGCGCUUGGGGGCUUGAGUGCUGGUUCCGCUU